UACGUAGGGUGCGAGCGUUAAUCGGAAUUACUGGGCGUAAAGUGUGCGCAGGCGGCCGCGCAAGUCGAGUGUGAAAGCCCCCGGGCUUAACUUGGGAAUUGCGCUCGAAACUACGUGGCUGGAGUGUGGCAGAGGAAGGUGGAAUUCCACGUGUAGCGGUGAAAUGCGUAGAGAUGUGGAGGAACACCAAUGGCGAAGGCAGCCUUCUGGGCCAACACUGACGCUCAUGACACGAAAGCGUGGGGAGCAAACAG
rnacentral:rRNA from 1 species